rnacentral:rRNA from 1 species
GUGCAGCAGGCGCGAAAACUUUACAAUGCGGGAAACCGUGACAAGGGGACACCGAGUGCCAGCGUCAUACGCUGGCUGUCCGGGUGUGUAAAAUACACCUGUUAGCAAGGGCCGGGCAAGACCGGUGCCAGCCGCCGCGGUAACACCGGCGGCCCGAGUGGUGAUCGUGAUUAUUGGGUCUAAAGGGUCCGUAGCCGGUUUGGUCAGUCCUCCGGGAAAUCUGACAGCUCAACUGUUAGGCUUUCGGGGGAUACUGCCAGACUUGGAACCGGGAGAGGUAAGAGGUACUACAGGGGUAGGAGUGAAAUCUUGUAAUCCCUGUGGGACCACCUGUGGCGAAGGCGUCUUACCAGAACGGGUUCGACGGUGAGGGACGAAAGCUGGGGGCACGAACCGGAUUAGAUACCCGGGUAGUCC